AAAAGUCGUAACAAGGUUUCCGUAGGUGAACCUGCGGAAGGAUCAUUAAUGGAAAAUAUUUACAUUGUAUGUGAAGGGUUGUAGCUGGCCCUCUGGGGCAAAUAUAUGUGCACACCUAGAUCAUCAUGUAUAUAACCAUUUAAUAAUUUUUAUUACCCUUGUGCACAUCCUUGUAGCUUAGCUAUUCUACCAUAUAGUUAAGUUAUGAAUGCCUUUUAUUAUACACUUGGAAUUUUUGGGCAUUAUUGAAUGUUAUAAUAUAUAAUAUAACUUUCAGCAAUGGAUCUCUUGGCUCUCGCAUCGAUGAAGAACGCAGCGAAAUGUGAUAAGUAAUGUGAAUUGCAGAAUUCAGUGAAUCAUCGAAUCUUUGAACGCAUCUUGCACUCCUUGGUAUUCUGAGGAGUAUGUCUGUUUGAGUGUCAUAUAAUUUAUCAACUACUUUGUUUUUAUCAAAGUGAAGUUGGACUAUGAAGGAUUGCAGUCAAAGUUUUUGACUGCUCCUUUAAAAUGUAUGAGGUAAAUAUCUUUAGGGGUAUUUAAGAAAUAUCAUCAAUGAGAUAAGUUAAAACAUUGUUGAUAUGGUAUUACACCCUAAGGUUUUAUCAGAAUCUAUAAAGUUAUAAUUUGACCUCAAAUCAGAUAGGAUUACCCGCUGAACUUAAGCAUAUCAAUAAGCGGAGGAAA
rnacentral:rRNA from 1 species